AUGACUUGAACAGUACUCUUCAAAUUCCCUUGAAGUGUACUCACCUCCAUUGUCACUUCGGAGACGCUUUAGCUUUUGAUAUGUCUCCCUUUCUACUAGAGCAUUAAACUUCUGGAAAACUUGAAACACGUGAUCUUUGGUUUUCAAAAUAUAAACCCAAAAUUUUCGUGAAGCAUCAUCAAUAAAAGUAACAAAAUAUUUGUUACCAACCAUUGAUUCAAUUUCCAUUGGGCCACAAACAUCAGAAUAUAUUAAAUCAAGUAUAUUCAAUUUUUCACUGUACUGAAAUCACCUACUAGAUAUCUGCAAAAAAGACCUCUUACCGGUGUGGCAUGGUAAGAUGCCGCUGUGUCAACCACCCAUUCCGACUCUGGACCUGACAGGUGCAUGCAUUCCUCUUCCUCAUUUAUAAAGAGGACAUCAUUACCAUUGUUUUGCACCAUGGAGGCUGUGUUAUCGUCAUUCUUCUGGCCACUAAUUUCACCUUUUCCCUUCCUUAGAUUUGGGCAAUCUCUUUUGAAGUGACCGGGUUGAUCACAGUUGUAGCAAUUUCUGGCUUUUGAUUUGGAUCGAUUCUUUGACUUUCCACGAGCUCCGGAUCUACCAUAGUUGCUCGAACUCCGUUGAUAACUCCUGCCUCUACCUUCUGUGAUAAGAGCUUGUCCUUGAUUUUCAGGCUUCUUUCUAAUCUUCUUAUUGAGUAAAAGAGCUGAUGUUACAUCUUUCAACUCAAUAAUAGUCUUACCGUGCAGGAUGGUUGUUGCCAAAUUAUCGUACGAAGCUGGCAAUGAGUUCAAUAGCAAGAUGACUUUAUCUUCCUCCUCGAUUUUCACUCCGAGGUUGGCAAGCUGUGUGAUUAGUCCGUUAAACACAUUUAAAUGUAACAAAGAAUUCAUACCUUUACCCACGUGUAGGGCGUAUAACUGCUUCUUCAAGAACAAUUUAUUUGUCAGCGUUUUGGACAUGUAUAGGCUUUCCAACCUUGUCCAAAUUCCACGUGCAAUGUCUUCAUCAAUGAUGUUAUUUACCACAUCAUNNNNNNNNNNNNNNNNNNNNNNNNNNNAGAUGACUUUAUCUUCCUCCUCGAUUUUCACUCCGAGGUUGGCAAGCUGUGUGAUUAGUCCGUUAAACACAUUUAAACGUGACAAAAAAUUCAUACCUUCACCCAUGUAUAGGGCGUAUAACUGCUUCUUCAUGUACAAUUUAUUUGUUAGCGUUUUGGACAUGUAUAGGCUUUCCAACCUUGUCCAAAUUCCACGUGAAAUGUCUUCAUCAAUGAUGUUAUUUACCACA
rnacentral:lncRNA from 1 species